CACGCGUGGAAUAGCAACGUGUUGGAUGCCCACGCGUGUUAUAGUAACGCGUUAAAUUACCAGGUGUUGGAUCUCCACGCGUGGAACAGCAACGCAUUAUAUCUCCACAUGCGGUAUAGCAACGCCUUACAUUACCAUGCAUAGUAUUCACUUCUCUCAAUUCUUAAGCUAAUCUAGUUAUAUAGAAAUGUUCGAAGAUUUGAAGAUAAUAAUUCCACAAUAAAUUAAGUUAAAAGUUUGCAGUAAGUUCCGGCACUGUACAAUGGAAAUGGCAUCAUGCACGCAGGGUCGAGAACAGUGGUUAAAUCGAGCUUCUACAAAAUGAAAUCAAUUCCAUGAAGUGAGCCCGUUUUUUACAUUGGCCACGAAAUUAAUACGGAGCAUGUCGAAUAUCAGCGCCAACUGGUCGAUCGAAACGGGUCGAUUUAAAUUGCCUAAUUGUAAGUUCCACCCGUUGGUCGUCUUCUGGGUGGAGUCGAUCGGUAGUUGUGUUGGCCCGCGGUAGCCGUUGCGCGUAAUAGCAUUCGGAAGGAGGAGUACAAAAGCAAAAGGAAAAGUAUAAGAGAGAGGAACAGAGCAAAGGGAUCGAGCGGGAAGAAAGAAAAAACGAAACAGAUGAACGAGCAUCGGUAGGACGAGAGGCUUACAAGAGGUAUACACAUCAGAACAGAUUAAAAUCGUUGAAUCUUUCUCCAUCUAUGGGCCUCGUUCGUCGAAAUUGCAACCACCUGUGAGUUACUUUCCAAUCGCCAUUUUCUUGCGGAGAUCUUUCGGAGUUGAAUCCUUCAAGGGUGCACAAAUAUUCAGCACCUCCAGUGCCUCUCGAAGAUUUUAAAGUACGAAGAUUACACAAGUUCGCAAAUGAAGGGAAAAAAUAUAACGCAAAAAAUAGAGUCCAUUCUCAUACACCGUAACGAUCUUGAGCAGGAAAAUGGUGCUCCUCGAAGUUAAGCAUCAUAAAAGAUAAGUGAAUAAUUGUCAGUUACUCGUUCCUGAGAUAUUGCACCGCGUCCAGUUGAGGAGAACACCCUGUAUGUACAGUAUACAACGAAAAGAUUCGACAAAGGGAACAUAGAUCGUCCAUUUGCAAGGAUGAACGCGACGGAGAGGUCGAAAGCAGCGCGAAGGAGUUUCGGCUACCGUUGAAGAAGGAGGACCUUGACAUCCGGCGAUUAUCAGGCUGUGUCCGUACCUGAGCCGUACAGGAUGAUGUCAAAGCGGUACCGUGGCUCAGGUAUAUACACACAGCGUUAUAGCACACAAGCAAAACCGGUGCACAUUAUGCUUCUCCGCACACGUGCGCCAACAACGCUGAAAAGUCGAAUGCGCACGCCAUGGGUACUAUGUCUUGUGUUGCUCGCCGUGUACUGUACGUUACUACACUCUACACGAGGACCCAGAGAGAUGGAGAGCCAGCAGGAGGACACGAGAGGGCAGGAGGAGUGCCCGUGGUUUUGCCCCUUUUGCCAGUUCUGCCCUUUUUUUUCCUCUUCUUUUUUUUCCUCUUUGUUCUUCCUCUCUCUUCUUUCCACUUCCACCACCUCCGGAGAUCUCUUCUGCCACGGUCCAGGGACGUAGCGACCGAAUGUCCAGUUAACAGACGUUUACAAUUGUUGCGGUUCAUCGACUCCUGCCUUUCGAAUACUCUCGAAUCUCGGAGUAUGGUUGAUGUUUUAUGAGUGUCACCUUAAUUCACUAGUUGCCAAUCUAGCUGAAUUUAUUAGCUUAUUUAAUUAGAAUAUUAUGAGUUUGUCGAGUCCCGUCACUUGGCAACAAGUUUGUCAGUUGUUAAUGCAGUUGGUUGUUUCUGGGACGUGGAAAGCGGUGAAUUCAAUUUGUCAACGGUCUCGUAUUUCUACCAGCACGCUGGAACGUCCAGGAACUUAAGACUGGGUUAAUUGGUCGGAGUAACUGAAUUUUCCCCGGGAGAAAGGUCAGCCUUGAAGAGCAUCGGGAGGCAGCUGAUCGAUCGAGUUACUAGGAAGACUGGUAUUGCGGUUAACAACAUGGUCGAUUGAUGACAGGAAACCGUACACAUUAGCGAUACAUGCUGUUUCGUAAUCACUUUCUUUUUAUUACUGUUUGCUUGUAAUAGUUGUAUUGGUGGGGUCGCGCGUUCAAAAAAGCGUUGAUUCGGAAUUUGCGAAUUUGAAGUUAGACACUUAAGAAUUUGGGAGAAUUUGGAAAUCAGAAGUACAGAUAUUGUGAGACUCAAUAAUCCCCUAAAAUCGAAGGCAAGUGAUUGGUUCAUCUCUCUACACUUGUCCUUAUUGAAGGAAACCUAUGUUGUACCCGUACCAUACUCUCCAUAAGGUAAAUGAUUCUAUUGUUCGACAUAUAAGAACACGGUCUUUAUUAGCAUAUACAGAUUUUAGAUAAGAGACUAUGGGAUAGUCCCUCUGAAUUUCUAAGUAAAUCAAAUUCAGAAUUGUGGAAAUACAAAGUUAUUAACCUUCACAAAGUAAUAAAAAUUACAUGCGAUGUCCCAUUUAUUGAUCAGUACAAGUCUUUGCGAUUAUAUAAAUAAAGUGUUACGUCGUUUAAUAGAAUAAAACACUUAGUCGAUAAGUAGAAACAUGAUUGCUGAUGGAUACGUUUACCAUGAGCUAUCUAUUAAGAGCCUGAAAAAGGUGCAUGUAUAUCUUUCCGUCAUUAAAUUCAUGAUAGCCUAUGAAGAGCUAUGCAGAGCAGCAUUGAAUAAGAUUCCCCUUCUAUCGUAAUCCAUAGAACACGUAUGAGGCACAAAAGUUUCCACCUUACAUCCCUGAGGUCCCCUGUUCGUUUGGCUGGUCUCUUCUUCUUGCAGCCCUCUUCGCUCCCUUCUGCGUUUGCCACGAAGGGUCGGUUUUUUCUUCUUUUUCCUCCACGGUUGUUCCGUCUGUUUUAUUCCUUUUGCACGGCGUCACGGCUACUUUUGUUGCGCCUCUCUUUCUUCCUUCUUUUUCCUCUCCUUCUCUUUUCCACCCUCUAUUCCUACUAUCCUCGACGCUUCGUCUCCGUUCUUCGCGCGGCUCUCGAAACGACUCUCUUCCAUUAUCGGAACGCGAGGAACGGAGACGAGGCUAGAAAAGAAGAAGAACGAAUCUUUCUCUCCUUCUUUUUAUCUCGACUCCUUCCAUCCACUUCUUCUUCUCUCUUUCUCUUCUUUCCACUCUUCUGCACACACCAGUUGUUCCUUUUGUUUCCAGCAAGUAAGUGAGUCAGUGAGAGAGCGAGAGAAUGAUGAAGACGAAAACACCGGGGACAGAGAGAGACGGAAAGAGAGGAGAGAACUGGUGAUGGUCGACGAGAGAGAAGAGACAGUGAAGCGUGUCUCGACACGCGAGAUGCAGGAUCGAAUUCGACCCUUGGAUCCGGAUCCACCAAAGUCCCGAUCUCUUGGAUCAUUCUCGAUGCGGACGUUUCUUACCCCUUUCUUUUUUUAUCGAUUUGCCAGCGCCGAUUUUUCUUUUUCCGAUCAUUUCGAUUGGUUUAUUCCAUUCGUGCCACCUGAAUGUUUCGAUUGGAAUAUUUUUUGCUGCUUAUCGAAAUAAUUCACACCUUUAACGAAUUCGAGUAAAUAAUGGACGCGAAUCGUGCUGAGAAGAGGCUAUUUCAAUGUUGCGCAUCUCUCCCCUGCACACGGUGCGUGCUUCAAUAUAAAUAUUUAAUGGAGCGGUCUCAGUGCGUAUCAAACACGUAUAAAUAGAGCGUUGUUGCGUGCAGCAAGCCUACUUACACAUAUCGUUUGUUGGACGCUUUGAUAAAGUGACGUUAUGCCGUUCUGGAGAUAGAUCGGAAGGCUAUAUAACGCGAGCUGAUGUGGCUACAGAUGAUUAUAAUACAUGGAAUAUACAAUGUAUGGAGUGAGCUGUUCAGAGUGUUAUAACACGUGAGUUCGACACGUGGUGAACUCUAUAUGUUGCAAAUACUACACGUGCUGAUUCAACCUGUGGUGAAUUCAACCCACGCUGAAUUCUGCAUACAGCGAAUUCUACAUGUGAAUUCUACAUGUGUCGAUGCGUGAAUACAACAUGUGAUGAAUUCGACCUACACUGAAAUCUACACACACAGAUUUCGACCUGCACUGAAUUCUACACAAGGUAAAUUCAUGAAGAAUACAAUGCAUGAUGAACACAACUCGUAGAAAGUACUUCACAUGGUGACAUAACGCAAGGUAAAUACACCGCAGCCAUAUAACGCGUGGUGAAUACAACUUACGAUACAGCGCGUGGUGAAUACAAUAGGCAACUAUGCGUGGUGACAUAACUGGAGAUAAAUACAACGUAGCCAUAUAACGCGUGGUGAAUACACCAGCUAACAAUGUGCGAUGAAUAAAACGUAGUCAACGUGAUUUUCAUCGACAAACCGUAGAUAAAAUCUAGCAAUCCAUUUCGUCAUAUGAUCUUAUCCAGUGUUCGAUAAACUCAUUAAUUCAUGAGGCAUCGAGCGACGAUUAUAGCGUUAAAACGGUGCGUAAACGAGCUCGGUAUGUGGAAGGACUUAAUCGGUAGCUCGUUAUGCGCAUCGUUGUAGUCGCCGGCUAUUUAACACGAAGCCGCCCCCUUAAUACGGAUAGUGGUUCGAGUUCGAUGAAGUUGUAAGCAUCGGAUAGACUCUCGUAGAUAGCAGACCAAAGCGAACAAGAAGAAUCGGAAUGUAAGCGAAGGGCCACUUAUUGAACGUGUACUUCUCUUUCCAUACGCGAACGCAGAUUCACCGUGAAGAGAUAGUACUCGUAAUUCAGCCGGGCUCAUUAAUGUCAUCGAUACCAACCGUGUAAUGUGGCUACGAUCUUCUCUAUUGGCAAUGAAUGUUCCCUGGGUGCCUACAGUGAUGUCAUUCGGAACGAAAUGACAAACUGCUGCAUGCGAGCGUGACGCAGCGGGGUCAACACUCAAUCGGUGUACAACGGGAGCUGAAUGUGCACCGGGAACACAAAGGAGAGACAAAAAGCUACGGGAGAAAAGAAGAAGCAAAGUGGUGCUGUGCGAGCUACGAAAGGAGCGACGAAGAGGAGACGAAGGCAAAGUGGGCUGGAAUAUUUCUACGGCGUAAGAGGAAAAUUGAUGGCACGAUCGCGAAUGGGUCUUGUUGCUCUCUUACCAUCGCAAAACCUACCCUGACGAAUCUCCACUUUCAUUUUUUUAACUCAAGAUUAAAAUUAUGGCCAGAGCUUUCGAAAGAGGGCUGUGUUCACAGGGUAAAAUGGAGAUCGGAGUUUGGGAAUUUAGGAUUAUGGAGAUUUAGGGAUUCGGGAAUUUAAGAAUUUGGAGAUUUAGGAAUUCAGAGA
rnacentral:misc_RNA from 1 species